GUUAUUUUGGCAGAAUUAAUGCAUUUGAUUUAGGGUCAUAAGAUGGUUUAUAACCAAAUAAUAC
rnacentral:tRNA from 1 species